rnacentral:rRNA from 1 species
GAUGAACGCUGGCGGCGUGCCUAAUACAUGCAAGUCGAGCGAACAGAUAAGGAGCUUGCUCCUUUGACGUUAGCGGCGGACGGGUGAGUAACACGUGGGUAACCUACCUAUAAGACUGGGAUAACUUCGGGAAACCGGAGCUAAUACCGGAUAACAUUUGGAACCGCAUGGUUCUAAAGUGAAAGAUGGUUUUGCUAUCACUUAUAGAUGGACCCGCGCCGUAUUAGCUAGUUGGUAAGGUAACGGCUUACCAAGGCGACGAUACGUAGCCGACCUGAGAGGGUGAUCGGCCCCACUGGAACUGAGACACGGUCCAGACUCCUACGGGAGGCAGCAGUAGGGAAUCUUCCGCAAUGGGCGAAAGCCUGACGGAGCAACGCCGCGUGAGUGAUGAAGGGUUUCGGCUCGUAAAACUCUGUUAUUAGGGAAGAACAAAUGUGUAAGUAACUGUGCACGUCUUGACGGUACCUAAUCAGAAAGCCACGGCUAACUACGUG